GACGAACGCUGGCGGCGUGCCUAAUACAUGCAAGUAGAACGCACAGGAUGCACCGUAGUUUACUACACCGUAUUCUGUGAGUUGCGAACGGGUGAGUAACGCGUAGGUAACCUGCCUGGUAGCGGGGGAUAACUAUUGGAAACGAUAGCUAAUACCGCAUAAGAACAUUUACUGCAUGGUAGAUGUUUAAAAGGUGCAAAAGCAUCACUACCAGAUGGACCUGCGUUGUAUUAGCUAGUUGGUGAGGUAACGGCUCACCAAGGCAACGAUACAUAGCCGACCUGAGAGGGUGAUCGGCCACACUGGGACUGAGACACGGCCCAGACUCCUACGGGAGGCAGCAGUAGGGAAUCUUCGGCAAUGGGGGGAACCCUGACCGAGCAACGCCGCGUGAGUGAAGAAGGUUUUCGGAUCGUAAAGCUCUGUUGUUAAGGAAGAACGUGUGUGAGAG
rnacentral:rRNA from 1 species